AUUGAACGCUAGCGGCAUGCUUUACACAUGCAAGUCGAACGAGUGGCGGACGGGUGAGUAAUAUAUCGGAAUGUGCCUAGUAGAGGGGGAUAACUACUGGAAAGGGUGGCUAAUACCGCAUACCAUCGGAGCGCCCCAUAUCGGAUUAGCUUGUUGGUGGGGUAAAGGCUCACCAAGGCAACGAUCCCUAGCUGGUUUGAGAGGAUGAUCAGCAACACUGGGACUGAGACACGGCCCAGACUCCUACGGGAGGCAGCAGGGGGGAAUUUUGGACAAUGGGGGAAAGCCGGAUCCAGCCAUCCCGCGUGUAUGAGAAGGCCUUCGGGUUGUAAAGUACUUUUAGCAGGGAAGCGGUAUCUGCAGAAUAAGCACCGGCUAACUACGUGCCAGCCGCCGCGGUAAUAC
rnacentral:rRNA from 1 species